CCUACGGGCGGCAGCAGUGAGGAAUAUUGGUCAAUGGCCGAGAGGCUGAACCAGCCAAGUCGCGUGAAGGAUGACGGCCCUACGGGUUGUAAACUUCUUUUGUAGGGGAGUAAAGAGAGUCACGUGUGACUUUUUGAGAGUACCAGAUGAAAAAGCAUCGGCUAACUCCGUGCCAGCAGCCGCGGUAAUACGGAGGAUGCGAGCGUUAUCCGGAUUUAUUGGGGUUAAAGGGUGCGGAGGUGGGUUGUGAAGUCAGUCGGGAAAGUUUGGGGAUCAACCCUGGACUUGCCGUGGAAACUGCAAGCCUUGAGUACAGUAGAGGUAGGCGGAAUGCGUGGUGUAGCGGUGAAAUGCUUAGAUAUCACGCAGAACUCCGAUUGCGAAGGCAGCAUACCGGAGUGCAACUGACGCUGAUGCUCGAAAGUGUGGGUAUCGAACAGGAUUAGAUACCCCAGUAGUC
rnacentral:rRNA from 1 species